CUGGCUACAAGUUCAGGUUGACUUAGUCCAUUGAACCCAAUGCUUUGUCCUGCUGGUCCAUAGUUGUAGUUCCAUGAUAUUUGUAGUGGACCGCGGCCGUAAUACCCCUUGCCUGGCACACAUGGAUACUGAGUGUUGCUCUUGUCACAGUAGUUUCUGGACGGGCCGUUUAUCUCUUCUAUAUAGCACAGAUCUGCAUGAUAUAGAGAAGUCGCAUUAGUUACCAUUCUGUCGAAUUGAUAAAAAGAAAAAAUGCAUGUUUGGUAAGACAAGGAUUGUCGGAUGAUAUGAUAAUGAAAAAUGUAGAAAACAAAUUUUAUGAGUUCUAAUAACAAUUAAUUGCAAAAUUAUAGAAUUGAAAGGAUUUAAGAAUCACAAACAAAUAUAUUUAUGUGGACGAAAAGAGAAUAAAUAACUUAACUCAAAACGUCAUUAACAUUUUAAACAAAGAAGAAAGUCUUACCGAAAUAAAAAUUUAAUAAAUUUUCUAUAGACUAUUUUAGGCUUUCCUAAAUUUUUAGAAAAUACUCCACCUAAUACUCUAUUGAUAAUUUAUCAGAAUCGUUGAAUAAGAAACAACACGAUUAAUUAUGAAAUAAAACCCCAAUUACUAAUUAAUAAAAUUACUAGAACUUGGCUUCAAUAAAACUAAUGCUAAUUAAAUAGAAAAUUUUUGAAGCUUGGUUUAUUUUGCCAGAAAAAGAAAAAGAAAAGAAGAGCCAUCAAUAUUUUUGAAUGAACCACAAGUGAUUUAAAAUUUACAAAGUUGUAAGUAAUGAUUUAAAAUUUACAAAGUUGUAAGUAAUCACAUGCUUACUAAAUUAUAAAGUUGACUACUACAACAAAGUAAAAAGAACGGAAAGUAAUAAUUUCUCUAUCCAAUUAUAAGUGGCACCCAUAUUCAUGAUGAAUUAUUACAAUAAUAAGUAUUUCUUGUUAAAGUUUUAGUUUUUGAAGAAAGUUCUUGGAUAAUAUUGCAAAGAAAAAUAUUCAAAACUUAGGUAGAUCCGGUUUUCAAAAAUCCAAUAGAUCAAAGUGUGCUAUACUAUCUCACUAAGUGGUUUGACACAAUUUAGACUAUUGAAUUUUUGAACAUGGGACUUACCCAAGUGUCAGUCCAGAAAAAUAAUCUAUAUAUUACUGUACCAACAUUUAGAAAAGUUCCUAAAAAUAUUUUAUAGAAAGUUCCAAAGUAAUUCUCUUUUGGUAGAGUUGUUGACAACACUUACGUCCAGUCUCAUGAGUGACAUGAGCAAAGAAAGCAGCAACCUCCCUUUUAGAAUCAGCAGCAGAACCAGCAGUUCCAAACUUAGAAUACGACUUCUGAGCUUGAAGAAAUGCCGAUCGAGUAUAGAACCCUUUUCCAGCACA
rnacentral:lncRNA from 1 species